GCUGUGGAUAGGGGGUGAAAGGCUAAAACAAAUCCGGAAAUAGCUGGUUCUCCCCGAAAACUAUUUAGGUAGUGCGUCUUAUAUCACUGACGGGGGUAAAGCACUGUUAUGGCUAGGGGGUCAUCGCGACUUACCAAACCAUGGCAAACUCUGAAUACCGUCAAGUGCGAGUAAGGCAGACAGACAGUGGGUGCUAACGUCCAUUGUCAAGAGGGAAACAACCCAGACCGCCAGCUAAGGUCCCCCAAGACACAGUUAAGUGGGAAACGAAGUGGGAAGGCAUAGACAGCUAGGAAGUUGGCUUAGAAGCAGCCAUCCUUUAAAGAAAGCGUAAUAGCUCACUAGUCGAGUCGUCCUGCGCGGAAGAUGUAACGGGGCUCAAACUGUGCACCGAAGCUGCGGAUAUCGAAAGAUAUGGUAGGGGAGCGUUCUGUAGGUCUGUGAAGGUGUCUUGUAAGGAUGCUGGAGAUAUCAGAAGUGCGAAUGCUGACAUG
rnacentral:rRNA from 1 species